rnacentral:tRNA from 2 species
GCGGAAGUGGCGGAAUUGGCAGACGCGCAUGAUUCAGGUUCAUGUAUCCGCAAGGAUGUGGAGGUUCGAGUCCUCUCUUCCGCA